rnacentral:lncRNA from 1 species
GGAUGCUGCUGGGGCCCAGCAUGGCCACCUGUGCCCCAAAGCCUGCACAUGGGAGGCUGUGUUGGGGCACACCCAGGCCAGCUGCAGAGGACACCCAGGGGCAGACGGGGAAGCUGGGGUAGGAGGUGUGGGAGCUGUGGGCACUGUGCCAGGGCCAGGAGGGGCACAGGCCCGUGGGGCUCUCAUCAAGGGCAGCUGCUGGGUGAGAGGGGAAGGCAGGUCAGCAGGAGGCCACCACAGAGUCCCGUCUGGAGGCCAGCGGAGGGCAGGGGUGGGGGUGUGGGAUGAAGUUGCCUCCAGGGGACAGGCGCCCAAGGGCCAGAGCCAUCACCUUUGGCGACCAAAAGCAACCCUGAGGAGGUGCUGGGGAGCCCUGCGGGGGGCCUCUGUGCUUGCUGGGGAUAAAGAGGGCUCCCAGAAACCACUCCCCACCUUGGCAGAGUGGGGGCUGCAGCUGACCCUGGCAGGCGUGAAGGCCUUGCAGGAAGCCAGGUAGGUGGUGCGUGGGGCCCCCGAAUUCCUGGUGUCCCUGGCGCCUGGCAGGGAGGAGGCAGAGCUUGUGGCAUUACACUGCCCUGAGCUCUUCAGAGACCCCACACUACACGCAGUCUCCCCACAAGCCCCUGGUCUACCACACAGUGAGAACUGCACGGCGGGGCACAGGCCGGAGCCACAGACGCAGGCAAACCGUGUCCCACUGCAGGUGACCUUGCCUCGUCACACGGGGGACUCACCGACCGUCCUCAGGCCCCUGCACCGGCACCAGCGUCCCUGCCCUGCCCUCCACUGCUCACGGGGUUGGCCGGGGGAACGGGGAGGCAGGGCAAGCCCCCAGGAGCCCACUGCCGCAGCCCAGGCCCCGUCUCCAGCCCUGCCAGCCUCCUCCUCCGUGAGCACAGGUGGGCCUGAGGCCUGCCCAAGCCCCUCGGGGUCACAGCUCUCCUCACAGGGUCCUUCCUCAUCUGACGGGGACAAGGUGCCUGGGGCCAAGGGGGAGAGGAAAAGCUGCCCCCAUCCCGACCCCACCGUGUUCCACCUGAUGAGGCUAAGGAGGAGAGGAAAAGCUGCCCCCACCCCGACCCCACUGUGUUCCACCUGAUGAGCAGCGAUGGCACCUGCACCCCAGAGCUGGACGUGCUAGGGGCCAGGACAUCCCAGAGGAAGACGGCGUCCCCUGCGCUGAGGACCUGCUGCUGGUCAGGAGAGAAGGCCACAGCCUGCACGGGUUCCGAGUGGCCGAUGUACA